rnacentral:rRNA from 1 species
AUGCAUACUUGUUGGGUUCCACCAUAUUAUGAACGUGAAUUACUUCAAAAAUUGCAGCGUUUAAGACAAGGAAAAAAUUCUGUAGAAGAAUAUUAUCAGGAAUUACAAACUGGCAUGAUUAGAUGUGGUAUUGUUGAGGAGAAUGAAGCUAUGCUUGCACGUUUUAUGCGUGAAUUAAAUAGAGAGAUUCAGACCAUUCUAGAGUAUAAGGAGUAUACUAAUAUCACUCUUUUAUUCCAUCUUACUUGUAAAGCUGAACGUGAAGUGCAGGAUCGACAUGCAUUGGCGCGAACUAGCUUUUCUGCAGGUCGAUCUUCAUCAUGGACACCACGUGCAUGCUCUACUUCCACUCCACCAGCACCUCCAUCAGGAGCCACCUCUAGCCGUGAUACAAGAAAGUAG